GCUGGUUAAUUUGCAAAUACAGAAAGAACUAUAUGUCCCAAUCUCCAAUCCACAUUGAACAUCCAAUUAUUAUAUGAUACAAUCAACCAACGAGAGUGGUAAAUACCAUUAAAGUUCAAGUGGGAUAAAGAAUGGUGCACAGGCUUCCUUCUAUUUGUGUCGAAGUACCGGCAAGAAGAGGUGAUGCUGUUACUUCUCAAUAAAGAUUAAUUGAAAUGGUAAUGAAGUGUGCUUAGAAUAGGGUGGAUGAAAUGGAAAAGAAGUGAGCAUGUGAAGAGGAGAUGUAUAGACGCCCCAACAAGGAGGUGCAAGAGGUUAACUAUAGUAGGUAUGAGGAGAUGUAAAGGUGGAUAAAAAAAGAUUGGGACUCAGGAGAGGUGAUUAGAUAGGACAUGACAGCCUGCAACUUAUUGAGGACAUAACCCUAGAUAAAAAGAUUUGGUGGUUGAGGUUUAGGAUAAGAUUAAUAGGUAGUUGAACGUUGUCUAUUUUUCUUGUUAAUAUUGUUUUUGUUACUCUCCUAUUAUCUAAUUCUAUGCUCUUAUUGUCCCCUUGGAUUCA